GACGAACGCUGGCGGCGUGCUUAACACAUGCAAGUCGAACGGAAAGGCCCUGCUUUUGUGGGGUGCUCGAGUGGCGAACGGGUGAGUAACACGUGAGUAACCUGCCCUUGACUUUCGGAUAACUUCAGGAAACUGGGGCUAAUAUCGGAUAGGAGCUCUUGAUGCACGGUGGGGGUUGGAAAGUUUCGGCGGUUCGGGAUCGACUCGAGGGUUAUCCGCUAGUUGGUGUGGUAGUGGCUUACCAGGUCUUUGAGGGAUAGCCUGCCUUAGAGGGUGACCGGCGACAUUGGGACUGAGAUACGGCCCAGUCUGCUACGGGAGGCAACAGUGGGAAGUAUUGCACAGUGGGCGGAAGCCUGAUGCAGCGGCGCCGCGUGCGGGAUGACGGCCUUCGGGUUGUAAACCGCUGUCGCCUGUGACGAAGCGGGAGUGACGGUAAUGGAUAAAAAAGCACCGGCUAACUACGUG
rnacentral:rRNA from 1 species